rnacentral:rRNA from 1 species
CAACGUAAGUAAUCUACCUUUGGAUGGGGAAUAACAGUCGGAAACGACUGCUAAUACCGCAUAAUGCAGCGGCACCUAAUGGUGACAGUUGUUAAAGUAUUUAUACGUCUGGAGAGGAGCUUGCGGCAGAUUAGCUAGUUGGUAAGGUAAUGGCUUACCAAGGCGACGAUCUGUAGCCGACCUGAGAGGGUGGUCGGUCACACUGACACUGAAUAACGGGUCAG